UUUUUUUUUUUUUUUUUUUUUUGCAAUUCAAAAUGUAGAAAUUGGUAGCCAGAAUGAAGUUAAAUCACAUAUUGCACUUCUGAGUUAAUCCAUCCAAGCCAAAGUUCUAAUAUACAUGCAUAAACAUAUUCUGGUGUAUUUGGUUUUAUUCUAUUUUAAGAUGAUGUUAGAGCUUUCUGGGGUUUGGUUUGGUUUGGUUCUUACACUUUUUGUAUAUUUGCUGUAAUCUGCUUGGUGUUUUUUUUUUCUGCUUCCUUAUGUUAUAUACAUUUAUCUAUGCUGUUUAUGGACAUUUAACUUCAUCUUAAAUCAAAUCACACCCAUGUGGUUCAAUGUGAUGCAAUUUUAGGCAUUCACUAGAUGCUGAUGUUGUGAAAGUCAUAGCUAUGCAACUCAGAAACUCCAUCUAAUGUAAAUCUUGAAAAAAAUCUUCAUGUUAUAAAAAUCUAUCCUGGUUUUCAGAAUAUAAGUGCCUUAUUUUUCUAAAUCUCCACCUCCUUUUAUUAGACUGUGUUAGCCCUGUAUUAGACUGUGUUGCGUUUGCGUUUGCUCUUGGCCUUGGCUCAUGUUCCGACAAAUGUGAGGUUAUGUUGCUUGAUGUGUGUUUUAGCAUGUGUUUUAUUUGACACUCUUCCCACAUGAUGUAUCUAUUCUGUCCAUAAAGUCUAACUCAUUUUUACACAUUUUUACAAAGACACUGUCAUAUUGGUGUUUCAUAUAGGCUACCUCAAAUCUAUCUGAAAUAAGAGGUAAGAGUUAUUUAUUUACAACUUACUCAUUAUCUUAAAAAUGUUACCAAAGGUUGGAAAACUCAUGUUAUUUCUUCUGCUUUCCAUUCUUUCUGGUUCUUUCAUUCUUCUCCAUUUUUGAUUGUUUGGUCAUUUCUUAUUACAAUCUUUUAAUUUAUGUAUUACAAAUACAUUUUUUCCUUAACAAAAUUUUAUGAGGAAAGUUUCAUUUUGUGUUUAUAAACCAUAUAUACAUAUAUACGUAGCAAGUUUUUCUAAUCUCAAUGAGAAAAGAAAACAGUUUAAAAAAAAG
rnacentral:lncRNA from 1 species